GAGGAGCUUGCGUGUGAGCACUCUGUGCGCUUCGGGGAAAUCGCCAAGCACUGCAGCCGAAAUCUUUGAGCAGUACUCAGAGAUAUAGAAGCAGUGUGUCUGGCUGGAAUCCUAAAUGUUUUGCCUUGUUUUCUUCCCUCUCUUUCUAUUUUCUUUUUAAAUUAAAGCCCUGAAAUGUACUGGAGCUGAAGAAGGCCCUGUCCUCCUGACAAGUUCCUGUGAUGUGGCAUUUAUUACUCUCAGCUUCCAGAUGGACAACUAACCACAGAGAAAUGUAUGCUCUUCCCAGAGGCACAUGGAAAUGUGGAGAAUCCAUUACAUGUCAGGCACAGCCCUCAGGACAUGAGAGAGGCACGGAUGAAAGGAGCUUGUAGACCCACAGAGGCCAGCAAAGUGUAAUAAUGGGAAGAAGAGAAGUGCUUGGAUAAAGGAGUGUAAACUGUGGUACAUAAUAAAGUAUCAGGAUGAUGACGAUGGUAUGUUUAUGCUUAUAGAGAUGCAAAUAGACAUUUACUGACACAGAAAGAUAUAUAGAAAAGACUGUGAAAUAAAACCAGGUUUAAAA